UACGUAGGGUGCAAGCGUUGUCCGGAAUUAUUGGGCGUAAAGAGCUCGUAGGCGGUUUGUUGCGUCUGCUGUGAAAUCCCAGGGCUUAACCCUGGGCCUGCAGUGGGUACGGGCAAACUAGAGUGCGGUAGGGGAGAUCGGAAUUCCUGGUGUAGCGGUGAAAUGCGCAGAUAUCAGGAGGAACACCGGUGGCGAAGGCGGAUCUCUGGGCCGUAACUGACGCUGAGGAGCGAAAGCAUGGGUAGCGAACAGG
rnacentral:rRNA from 1 species